rnacentral:rRNA from 1 species
GACGAACGCUGGCGGCGUGCCUAACACAUGCAAGUCGAGCGAUGACAAGUCUUCGGACUUUGAUUAGCGGCGGACGGGUGAGUAACACGUGGGUAACCUGCCUCAUAGAGGGGGAUAGCCUUCCGAAAGGAAGAUUAAUACCGCAUAAUGUAUUUUGGUCGCAUGACCAAGAUAUCAAAGAUUUAUCGCUAUGAGAUGGACCCGCGGCGCAUUAGCUAGUUGGUGAGGUAACGGCUCACCAAGGCGACGAUGCGUAGCCGACCUGAGAGGGUGAUCGGCCACAUUGGAACUGAGAUACGGUCCAAACUCCUACGGGAGGCAGCAGUGGGGAAUAUUGCACAAUGGGGGAAACCCUGAUGCAGCAACGCCGCGUGAGUGAUGAAGGCCUUCGGGUUGUAAAGCUCUGUCUUUGGGGACGAUAAUGACGGUACCCAAGGAGGAAGCCACGGCUAACUACGUG